rnacentral:rRNA from 1 species
UGGCGAACGGGUGAGUAACACGUGGGUAACCUGCCCAUCAGAAGGGGAUAACACUUGGAAACAGGUGCUAAUACCGUAUAACACUAUUUUCCGCAUGGAAGAAAGUUGAAAGGCGCUUUUGCGUCACUGAUGGAUGGACCCGCGGUGCAUUAGCUAGUUGGUGAGGUAACGGCUCACCAAGGCAACGAUGCAUAGCCGACCUGAGAGGGUGAUCGGCCACACUGGGACUGAGACACGGCCCAGACUCCUACGGGAGGCAGCAGUAGGGAAUCUUCGGCAAUGGACGAAAGUCUGACCGAGCAACGCCGCGUGAGUGAAGAAGGUUUUCGGAUCGUAAAACUCUGUUGUUAGAGA